rnacentral:rRNA from 1 species
AUUGAACGCUGGCGGCAGGCCUAACACAUGCAAGUCGAGCGGAUGAAGGGAGCUUGCUCCUGGAUUCAGCGGCGGACGGGUGAGUAAUGCCUAGGAAUCUGCCUGGUAGUGGGGGAUAACGUCCGGAAACGGGCGCUAAUACCGCAUACGUCCUGAGGGAGAAAGUGGGGGAUCUUCGGACCUCACGCUAUCAGAUGAGCCUAGGUCGGAUUAGCUAGUUGGUGGGGUAAAGGCCUACCAAGGCGACGAUCCGUAACUGGUCUGAGAGGAUGAUCAGUCACACUGGAACUGAGACACGGUCCAGACUCCUACGGGAGGCAGCAGUGGGGAAUAUUGGACAAGGGGCGAAAGCCUGAUCCAGCCAUGCCGCGUGUGUGAAGAAGGUCUUCGGAUUGUAAAGCACUUUAAGUUGGGAGGAAGGGCAGUAAGUUAAUACCUUGCUGUUUGGACGUUACCAACAGAAUAAGCACCGGCUAACUUCGU